rnacentral:rRNA from 1 species
AUUGAACGCUGGCGGCAGGCCUAACACAUGCAAGUCGAACGAGUGGCGGACGGGUGAGUAAUGUCUGGGAAACUGCCUGAUGGAGGGGGAUAACUACUGGAAACGGUAGCUAAUACCGCAUACCAUAGGAUGUGCCCAGAUGGGAUUAGCUAGUAGGUGGGGUAAAGGCUCACCUAGGCGACGAUCCCUAGCUGGUCGAGGAGGAUUACCAGCCCCACUGGAACUGAGACACGGCCCAGACUCCUACGGGAGGGAGCAGUGGGGAAUAUUGGACAAUUGGCGCAAGCCUGAUGCAGCCAUGCCGCGGGUAUUGAGAAGGCCUUCGGGUUGGAAAGUACUUUCCGCUGGGAGGCCUUUCCCUCAGAAGAAGCACCGGCUAACUCCGUGCCAGCCGCCGCGGUAAUAC